GUUGAACGCUGGCGGCAGGCCUAACACAUGCAAGUCGAACGCGUGUCGGACGGGUGAGUGUUAUCUGGGACCCUGCCUGAUGUAGCGGGAUAACUACUGGAAACGGUAGCUACUACCACCUACCAUCAGCUUUGCCCAGAUGGCGUUCGCUUGGUGGUGGGGUAACGGCCCACCAAGGCGACGAUCCCUAGCUGGUCUGAGAGGAUGACCAGCAACACUGGAACUGAGAAACGGUCCAGACUCAUACGGGAGGCAGCAGUGGGGAAUAUUGCACAAGGGGAGCAAGCCUGAUGCAGCCAUGCCGCGUGGAGUAAGAAGGCCUGCGGGUUGGAAAGUACUUUCAGCGGGGAGGCGUUACCAGCAGAAGAAGCACCGGCUAACUCCGUGCCAGCAGCCGCGGUAAUUC
rnacentral:rRNA from 1 species